rnacentral:rRNA from 1 species
UACGUAGGGGGCUAGCGUUGUCCGGAAUCAUUGGGCGUAAAGAGCGUGUAGGCGGCCCGGUAAGUCCGCUGUCAAAGUCAAGGGCUCAACCUUUGAAUGUCAGUGGAUACUGCCGGGCUAGAGUCCGGAAGAGGCGAGUGGAACUCCUGGUGUAGCGGUGGAAUGCGCAGAUAUCAGGAAGAACACCAACGGCGAAGGCAGCUCGCUGGGACGGUACUGACGCUGAGACGCGAAAGCGUGGGGAGCGAACAGG